rnacentral:rRNA from 1 species
GACGAACGCUGGCGGCAUGCUUAACACAUGCAAGUCGAACGGAACGGCCCUGCUUUGGUGGGGUGCUCGAGUGGCGAACGGGUGAGUAACACGUGAGUAACCUGCCCUUGACUGUGGGAUAACUUCAGGAAACUGGGGCUAAUACCGGCUAGGAGCUCCUGCUUCUUGGUGGGGGUUGGAAGGUUUCGGCGGUUGGGGAUGGACUAGCGGCUUAUCAGCUUGUUGGAGGGGUAGUGGCUUACCAAGACUUUGAGGGGUGGCAGGCCUGAGAGGGUGACCGGCCAAGUUGCGAUUGGGCUACGGCACAGACUAGUAUGGGAGGCAGGGGUGGGGAAGAUAGCAUAAGGGGCGGAAGCCUGAUGCAGCAACGCCGCGUGGGGGAUGACGUCCUUGGGGUUGUAAACCGAUUUCGCCUGUGACGAAGCGUGAAUGACGGUAAUGGGUAAAGAAGCACCGGCUAACUACGUG